CCGUUUUUUUAAAAUUUUUUUUCUUCCAAAAGAGGAGGGCGGCUUUUAUAUUUGAAUCCCCCGCCCCCGCGGGGGGGAGGGAGGCUCCCGCUUGAGGAAUACCCCAACCCCCCUUGAAGGGGGUUUCUCUCCAAACAAAUGCCUGAAAAAAAAAAACUUGACCCCACGUACCACUUACGUCUAGCCUAUACAACUAUCUCCACCAAAUAUCUUAAGUCUCGCGUAUUUAAAAAAUACGGCAAACAGCGAAACUUUAAGUGCAUUUUGCAAAUCUCUGAAUCAUAUAAUAUAUGAAAACGCCUUUUGCCCCUUGGGAUUCCCGGAGGGACACCCCUUUGGGUGUCUUAAAAAACUCACCCUUCUCCAAGGACUUCUGGAUGAUAGAGAGCUUUUAGACUUAGGAUUCUGUUGGCGGCAUCUUGCUCUUCUCGAGAGCGUUGGCCUCAAAAAUAACUUAGCGGCGUCACCUUUGGGGAGACCCUAUAUGAGAAAAAAAUGACUCCCCUGACUUAAAACCUGGCACUAAUCGCCAGGAAAAACCCCCGUUUUAACCGUCUCACCAAAGACAAUGAUUGGGGGAUCUCUCACUUCUAAGGAAAAACUCCCUAACCUCAUGAAACCCUUGAACCCAGAAGAAAGGGAAGAUUCCCCGU
rnacentral:misc_RNA from 1 species